rnacentral:lncRNA from 1 species
CCUAAGGAUGUCUGCUGAGUUGAGACUAAGGUGUAGUGGGUGAUAUGUUUGGCUGUGUCGCCACCCAAAUCUCAUCUUGAAUUGUAGCUCCCAUAAUUCCCACGUGUUGUGGGAGGGACCUGGUGGGAGACAGUUGAAUCAUGGGAGCAGUUUCCCCCAUACGGUUCCCAUGGUAGUGAAUAAGUCUUAUAAGAUCUGAUGAUUUUAUAAGGGGUUUCCCCUUUUGCUUAGCUCUCAUUCAUUCCCUCUUGUCUGCUGCUACGUAAGACGUGCCUUUUGCCUUCUGCCAUGAUUGUGAGGCCUCCCCAGCCACUUGGAACUAGAUGGAGCCGGGCAGGACUAACCCUGCUGUGCAGAUGGAAUAAAAGGCAGGGACCUGUUCCACGAUGCUCCCAAGCUCAGAUCACAGCGAGCUAAAGGGAACCUGGGAGGUGGGUCUCCUAAGCCUCAGGCACAGGGAUUAAAGAUGGCUGCAAAUUCUCCGACACGCCUCCCAUGGACCUAAGGGGCCUGUAACUGCUUUGACCAACAGAAAACAGCAGAAGUGAUGCUGGGCCAGGUCCUGGCUCAGACCCUGAGAGACUGCAGCUUCACUUCCUGUCAUUUGGAGCCUUGAGCGGCCAGGUGAGAAGGCUGACCACCUUGCUGCUAGUGAAGAGGGGCCCCGGUGAGCCCAGCCUCACAACAGCCCCCACCGAGCUGUCAGGGGUGUGAGAAAAGCUGGUGGACCCUUCAGAUGAGCUCAGUUGAGUAUUUCCAAGUAACCUCAGUCAAUGCUACAUGAAGCCAAAGAAUUGCUUGAAUUCCUAACCCACAAAAUAACAAGAUAUAAUAAAAUGCUGUCUUAAACCAACAA